GCCCAGGUGAAAUGCUUGCAGCUGUGCUCCACAGCAGAAUGUGUUUUAAUGAAUCCUGUGGAAAGCCUGUGAAAUCCAAGAAUCCUUUCUUCCUUCUUUCUCGUUUGUGUUUGUUGCCUGCAGUUCCAAGCAGGUGGGCUCUCAGUGUCUUGCAAGUGCCACUUAGCAGCAGCAAGUCCAGCCAGGAGGCACAGCACCCUGCAACCUCCAGGGGCCUUUGUGCAGCAGCAGAUGUUGAUGCCCUAGAAGCACGGUGCGGAGCACAUCCUGGGAUCAAGGUGCCACGGACUGGAAAAUGCUGCUGUGGCGGAGUUCCUGUGUGAAGACAAAAGCUCCCAGUCGCCCAGAAAUGUGGAGGCAGAAGAGCAGUGACAAGGCAUUGUGUUCAACUUAAGAAAUGAACGCAUGAAGAAUAGCUUUGUUUGCAUUCUGGUAACUGCUGAGGCUUUGGCUGAGGACAGCUUUCAGCUGCACCUGAACUAGGCUGGAUUUGUCUCCUGCUCUCCAUAGGUGUAUGGGAACUGUAUAAUCACAGCCUGACCCUCUGUUUGACCACCUGAGGCGAGUGCUGAGUCAGCUGCAGGGGCACAGGUGAUGGCAGUUUCAGCUGAGUGACCGGAAGGGGUGGACCCUGGCUGCAGCCCUGCUAGACCCCAUGUAAGGGCUGACUCCCAAGGAGGAAGGAUCUCUACCUGGAGGUCACCCUUAGUGGAGCCCUUCUGCGCGCCCAGGGUACGGGUAAGCUUUUUAUGUCAUUCCUCCUUUGGAACUGUGAUCAUCUCUCUGCUCCUUUACCUGUUUGCCUUACAAUCUGUUUGCCAUACACACAGGUGAUGUUUAACCCUCCUAAUGGGUAGCCCUGAAGCCUUUUCUGUAAACGCAACAGGGAUGGUGUUAGCCCUCAUCAAGUAAGGGCCACCCUUAGUCCUAAUACCAAAGGGUAGCCCUGAAGGAUUCCCUUUUUGGUUAUGGUUAACUCUAAUCCGAUGUGGUAACCGUUCACCUGUCACUGAAGGGAAGCCCUUCAUCCUAACCUACUAUGGUAACUCUUCAUCCUAAACGCUAGCCUCUAACAGUAACCUUUAAGCCAAUCCUUAGGGGUUUUCCUGAAGCCUUUGCACUGACUGAACUUGGUAGCAUUUCCACGUGAAGCCUUAUCUAAUGCAGUAACCCGCCAAUCUGAUGCCAAAGGGUAACGGUCCGCAGUUAGUAGUAAGACUAAAUAGUAGCACUUAACCGUAAUCCAGCAGGGGAUGAGGCCGAGCUUGUCUUCUGCCAGGGCUGCUCUCAGCCCCAGGGCACGGCGAGCGGCUGCGGGCAGUGCAUCUCCCAGCUGAGGUGCCUGUAAACAUCUGCCAGCUGUCCUU